UGCAUAUGAUUUUCUCCAUUUUAAUGAACAACCACCAAGUUCAACGACCAAACCUUUUCAUCAACGACAAGACCAUCUCAUUCGGAGUGUCAUUGUUGCCUCUUUAUAUUCUGAUAUUGUUCCAUUUGUCAUUGAUGUCAAAUCUUUCUUUUAUCUUUGGAAAAAUCAAAAUGGAAACCUAUGCGAAGCCAUCACGUGCUCGUAUCAUGAGUCUUAAAGAGUCUCUAAGAAACUUGAAAAAGGGUAACCUCUCUAUUACUUCAUAUCUACAAAAGAUCAAACAAAAUCUGCAGCACUUUAGUCUUUGCUGGCAUCCAAGUUUCAGUGGAUGAGCUCUUCCUUCAUGCUCAUCGUGGAGUUCCAUCUGAAUAUGGCACUAUCACUUCAGCUCUAACAGGAUCAGUGAGCAUAGGUACGAGGAACUCAAAUCCUAUCUUAUUCCAUAUGGAUUUUGCCACUCUCAGCCAGAUUACCUCUUGUUUAUAUAUGCUAAAUCUAGAGUUAUGCUCUACCUCAUUGUAUAUGUUGAUGAGCUAAUUAUCACGGGUAAUCAUCAAUGUUCGGUGGAAGAUUUUAUUAGGUAUCUUGCUAAUCAUUUUUCUAUUAAAGUUAUUCAAGUUAAUAGCUUCAACCAUGUUGGCUCAGUUCAAGUUAUUCGCUCACCAUAUGGAAUCUUCUGAAGUCAGCAGAAGUAUAUCUAUGAGAUCUUAGACUGAGCCAACAUGGUUGAAACUAAUCCCAUGCACACACCAAUGGCACACAGAGCUUGUUCUAUGAGUAGUGAUGGCUCUUUACUUGAAGAUCCUAAAGAAUAUCGUUGUAUAGUUAGAAGUUUACAAUAUCUUCAUCUUACCAGACCGGAUGUUGCCUUUGUUGUUUGCAAAUUGUCUCAGUUUACAAGUGCUCCAACAACUACACACCAGACUAUGGUUAAACGAGCACUACAAAAAAAUGCAUACUUUGUGGAGGCUUAAUUGGGGAGGUCAGACUAACCUUCAGAAAUUAUGUCAAAUUCUGGGGGUUUAUUCAACCUGUGCAAUUUAAUUCAAUAUUGCGGCGGUUAUGCUCCGUUAGUUUAUUAGUAUUUACUAAAAAAAGCCAUUAUAAUGAAAAUGUGUGCCAGGGUUUGGAACUUUCUCUCUUUAUUUUUCCUCCCAAAAUUUUAGGUUCGCCGGGAAAAUGCUCUCAGAAUUUUCUCGCUCUCGGUCACUCCACAACAUCCAUUAGAUGAAGAGAAGAAGAGAAGUCUAGUGAUUUAUGUUCGCAGAAGAGAAGAGGAGCUCUCGUUAGGUGUUGAUUUUCCAUUAAAGAAGAGGAGAAGAUUGAUUGGAUUCUCUCUAAGCUCGCAAAUUUGCUCUUCCAUCGACGAAUAUUCUCAAAAUCGUCACAGGGAACUGAAGAAGCAAAGAGAAAUGGCAGCUGUAGCUAAGGAGGAAGAGAAGAAGGCGUAUAACUCUACUACCGAUGGUAUUGCAGUAUCAAUGGUGAUGAAGUAUUCUGACAAUAUUGUGAAG